GGUUAAGUGACUAAGCGUACACGGUGGAUGCCUUGGCAGUCAGAGGCGAUGAAAGACGUAGUAACUUGCGAUAAGCCCAGAUUAGGUAGUAACAACCAUUUGAGUCUGGGAUUUCUGAAUGGGGAAACCCACGUGCAUAAGCACGUAUCCUUACCUGAAUACAUAGGGUAAGGAGGCGAACCGGGGGAACUGAAACAUCUAAGUACCCCGAGGAAAAGAAAUCAACCGAGAUUCCGAAAGUAGCGGCGAGCGAAAUUGGACUAGCCCUUAAGCUUUACACGCGUUAGACGAACGGUCUGGAAAGUCCGACGAUACAGGGUGAUAGUCCCGUAGUUGACGACGUGUGUUCAGUGAAAUCGAGUAGGGCGGGACACGUGAUAUCCUGUCUGAAUAUGGGGGGACCAUCCUCCAAGGCUAAAUACUACUGACUGACCGAUAGUGAACCAGUACCGUGAGGGAAAGGCGAAAAGAACCCCUGUGAGGGGAGUGAAAUAGAACCUGAAACCGUGUACGUACAAGCAGUAGGAGCAGGCUUUGUCCUGUGACUGCGUACCUUUUGUAUAAUGGGUCAGCGACUUAUAUUCAGUGGCAAGGUUAACCAUCUAGGGGAGCCGUAGGGAAACCGAGUCUUAACUGGGCGUUCAGUCUCUGGAUAUAGACCCGAAACCAGGUGAUCUAGCCAUGGGCAGGUUGAAGGUUGAGUAACAUCAACUGGAGGACCGAACCGACUAAUGUUGAAAAAUUAGCGGAUGACUUGUGGCUAGGGGUGAAAGGCCAAUCAAACCUGGAGAUAGCUGGUUCUCCCCGAAAGCUAUUUAGGUAGCGCCUCGGACGAAUACUACUGGGGGUAGAGCACUGUUAAGGCUAGGGGGUCAUCCCGACUUACCAACCCUUUGCAAACUCCGAAUACCAGUAAGUACUAUCCGGGAGACACACGGCGGGUGCUAACGUCCGUCGUGGAGAGGGAAACAACCCAGACCGCCAGCUAAGGUCCCAAAUUACUACUAAGUGGGAAACGAUGUGGGAAGGCUCAGACAGCCAGGAUGUUGGCUUAGAAGCAGCCAUCAUUUAAAGAAAGCGUAAUAGCUCACUGGUCGAGUCGGCCUGCGCGGAAGAUGUAACGGGGCUAAGUAGUAAACCGAAGCUGCGGCAAUGUGCUUUUGCACAUUGGGUAGGGGAGCGUUCUGUAAGCGGUUGAAGGUGUGUGGUAACGCAUGCUGGACGUAUCAGAAGUGCGAAUGCUGACAUGAGUAACGAUAAAGGGGGUGAAAAACCUCCUCGCCGGAAGACCAAGGGUUCCUGUCCAACGUUAAUCGGGGCAGGGUAAGUCGACCCCUAAGGCGAGGCCGAAAGGCGUAGUCGAUGGGAAACGGGUUAAUAUUCCCGUACUUCUUACAAUUGCGAUGGGGGGACGGAGAAGGCUAGGUGGGCCUGGCGACGGUUGUCCAGGUUCAAGUGCGUAGGCUUAAGAGUUAGGUAAAUCCGGCUCUUUCUAAGGCUGAGACACGACGUCGAGCACCUACGGGUGUGAAGUCAUUGAUGCCAUGCUUCCAGGAAAAGCCUCUAAGCUUCAGAUUGUAAGGAAUCGUACCCCAAACCGACACAGGUGGUCGGGUAGAGAAUACCAAGGCGCUUGAGAGAACUCGGGUGAAGGAACUAGGCAAAAUGGUACCGUAACUUCGGGAGAAGGUACGCUCUUGAUGGUGAAGUCCCUCGC
rnacentral:rRNA from 1 species